rnacentral:rRNA from 1 species
CCUACGGGAGGCAGCAGUGGGGAAUAUUGGACAAUGGGGGAAACCCUGAUCCAGCCAUGCCGCGUGAGUGAUGAAGGCCUUAGGGUUGUAAAGCUCUUUCGCCGAUGAAGAUAAUGACGGUAGUCGGAGAAGAAGCCCCGGCUAACUUCGUGCCAGCAGCCGCGGUAAUACGAAGGGGGCUAGCGUUGUUCGGAAUUACUGGGCGUAAAGCGAGCGUAGGUCGCUUAGCAAGUCAGUGGUGAAAGCCCAAGGCUCAACCUUGGAACUGCCAUUGAAACUGCUAAGCUGGAAUCUCAGAGGGGAUAGCGGAAUUCCAAAUGUAGAGGUGAAAUUCGUAGAUAUUUGGAGGAACACCGGUGGCGAAGGCGGCUAUCUGGAUGAGUAUUGACACUGAGGCUCGAAAGUGCGGGGAUCAAACAGGAUUAGAUACCCUGGUAGUCCGCACUGUAAACGAUGAAUGCUAGUUGUUGGGGGGUUCCCCUUCAGUGACGAAGCUAACGCAUUAAGCAUUCCGCCUGGGGAGUACGGCCGCAAGGUUAAAACUCAAAUGAAUUGACGG